rnacentral:rRNA from 1 species
AAGCCAUGCAAGUCUAAGUAUAAGUUAUUCUUAAGACGAAACUGCGAAUGGCUCGGUAAAACAGCAAUAAUUUCUUCGGUGAUGAGUUUACUCACGGAUAACCGUAGUAAUUCUAGAGCUAAUACGUGCUGAAAAAAGUGGGGUUCGCCCCACUGUGCCGUUUAGAUAACAACACCAACAUUUGGUGAUUCAUAAUCGUCUUUCUGAUCGCUUCAUGCGACGCACCGUUCAAAUUUCUGACCUAUCAACUUUCGAUGGUAAGGUAGUGUCUUACCAUGGUGGCAACGGGUAACGGACCGUGGGUGCGGGACUCCGGAGAGGGAGCCUGAGAAACGGCUACCACAUCCAAGGAAGGCAGCAGGCGCGCAACUUGCCCAAUCCAGACUCUGGGAGGCAGUGACAAGAAAUAUCAAUAGGGGAUCCUAUGGGUCUUCUAAUUGGAAUGAGAACAAGCUAAACAGCUUAUCGAGAAUCCAGCAGAGGGCAAGUCUGGUGCCAGCAGCCGCGGUAAUUCCAGCU